UACGUAGGUGGCGAGCGUUGUCCGGAUUUACUGGGCGUAAAGAGCGCGCAGGCGGUCGUCCAAGUCGCGUGUGAAAGCCCCCGGCUCAACUGGGGAGGGUCACGCGAUACUGAUCGACUCGAAGGCAGGAGAGGGUAGUGGAAUUCCCGGUGUAGUGGUGAAAUGCGUAGAUAUCGGGAGGAACACCAGUGGCGAAGGCGGACUACCUGGCCUGUUCUUGAC
rnacentral:rRNA from 1 species